CGUUCAAAUACUAACUAGGGUAGAUUACAUAUAUUUCUCAGUAAGAAAAAUAACAAGAGAGGAGUAAACACUGAAAAAUACAUUCGAUGUAUGUUUUAGGAAAAGUAGUGUAGGCAAAUGAUGUUGUGACAAUGUAAUUUGCAAGAAAAUUUUGACUAAAAGUUGAAAAAGGGUCAUUUGACCCUUCGUGAGUGCUAAUGUACUGAAUGAGUAACUGGGAGAGCAGGGUUUGCUUGAGCCCAGCGAGCGAGGUGGUUGGACCAGGUGGAGCAGGACUUGUCAAGAAUCGGUGCAGCCGGGAGUUGGAGAACUGCAGCCAUGGACCGGGUUUAUUGGAGAAGAGUAGUGAAUCAGAUCUAAUCUCAAUGGGAUGUAGAGUCAUAGUAAAUAAAUAAAUAGGGUUUGAUUGUGCCCUACGCGAGAUUUUCGUUAAUGUUAUUGUUAUGGAGUGCCUGAAUCAAUCGACGCAAACAUCUCGGAGAUCUAUUCGGAAAAUACUGAGCAAUAAGCACUCGAAGUUGGGCAAUUAUCUCGAAGCGACCGAUUUUUCGUUUUUCAAUUCGCAAUUUGCGUGUUUCUGGAAGACGUAAUCCUACGUCAAAAAAUCGUGGUUACUCAGUGCGAGCUAGCAUGCGAACCGGCUUACGAGUUAAUGCACAUUAGCUCGUAUGAUGUGUUCGCACGGCAUAAGAAGCUCUGAUUGCGUUGUGUAACCAGUCCGUUAGCUUUCGGUCGCAGUGUAUGCUGUGUAUUUUUGGGCAAUUGUUAGGACUGAUCUAUAGUAAAUCUUUAGUUUCGGAGGAAAUUGGCAAAUUACGAUAUGACAUCCACCGAUAAUUCGCGAUCGCGAUUUUGUGAGUACUUUGACGAUGUAUCGACGUGCAUGAUCUGUUUGUCUAGAUUGGACGAUCCUUAUUUGUGCCCUUACUGCUCGAAACUUUAUUGCUACACUUGUAUAUUGAAAUGGUUAGAGGCCGAACGGCACCUGAACUGUCCUCACUGCAAUCGUGUCGUGCAGCUGGAGAAACUGGUGAAGGUACGUUGGUUCCAGGAGAUGGAAAGACUACAGCGUAGUUGCUGCGACGAACCGAAGCCAUCGUCUGCCGACGUCCGCAACAACGAAACAUGUUCCAAGCAUAUGCAAACCGUCAACUUGUAUUGCCGCCAAUGUGAAGUCUGCAUAUGUAACGAGUGCGCUGUGAAUGAUCAUAUCCAUUGGGAUCACACAUUCAAAUUACCGGCACGACUUUUCUUACAGCCUCGUCGCCACUUUGUUAUGAUGUGAGGGUAAACCGAGGAAGUAACGUAACAACGAAUAAACAUGUAUUUCAUGUAAUAAUAGUUAAAGUACAAUUGUAUACUACGUUCACAGUCGGCUCUAUCGACAAUGAGAAACCCGAUGACAUUCCUCCUCAAAUCACAUCCGGUUUGUUGACAGCUGUCGGGUGACGGCUGUGAGCGUAACAGAACAGGGUCGCACUCCAAC